AACUGAACAUCGCCUUCCUGCUUGCUGUAAGGAAAGCCGUUACUGCUGGCCCUGCUGGAGAAAGUCUACCGUCUACGUCAUUGUGCACCAGUACCCAAGACGGCCAGGCAGCUGGGAACACAAGCCACCACAGGUAAGAAAUCUUUACUGUAUUUUUGCCUUUAAUAUUACAGCGAUGUAUUUGGUAAGUUUCCUCCAAAUCUUUGUUCCCUAUACGCUAUUUGAUUAGUCUCUGAAACGAGAACUGCUCAUCGGUUUGUGUUGUUCAUUUCCUAAUUGUUACUCCGUGUGGAAGGAAGUCUGCACCCACGCGGUCAUUCUCCAAAAUGGCGCAUCGAGUCGGUUGUUCCCUGAAUCCCCUGCAAAGCCUUCUCUCUGUGAUGGCCACGAUGGAAUCUAACAUAAUGGCACAGCCGCUGGCGAGUGUUGGAGUCUGACUACUCUCUCGCCCUGAGCUCGAGACUUCAGAUGAAGCCAGACAACCGAAUAUCUCUCCUGCUCCUCCCCGCAGUGCUUGCCUUGCCUUGCCUUGCCGAGUGUACAAGGUUGUGCACAACUAUAGCGACGGAAUGGAUCACAUUAUACACUUGGGUGCCGAUGAACACUGCUAUUACCCGACAUACUGGCCCGUCUCGUUGCUCGCCCCUGACCACUGCAACCAACACUGCCUUCGAUAGAGCGUUUGCUGCCACCAGGGGUGGGUGGGUGGAGCCUGGCCUGGACCUCCCCUUCAUGCUGUUCCUGCUGGAGAAAGUCUACCUCCCCUUAAUGAUCCUGCUGGAGAAAGUCUACCUUCCCUUCCUGGUGAAUUCAGUUUGAACUUCAACCCCUGCGUAUUCUAGGGCCCGGCGGUGACCGUCUUUAGAUUCAGUGACAUGCCCGAGUUCAGUUUGAACUUUAUCCCCUGCGUUUUCUAAGGCCCGGCGGUGACUGUCUUUAGAUUCAGUGACAUGCCCGAGUUCAGUUUGAACUUCAUCCCCUGCGUUUUCUAAGGCCCGGCGGUGACAGUCUUUAGAUUCAGUGACAUGUCUGAGUUCAGUUUGAACUUUAUCCCCUGCGUUUUCUAAGGCCCGGCGGUGACAGUCUUUAGAUUCAGUGACAUGUCUGAGUUCAGUUUGAACUUUAUCCCCUGCGUUUUCUAAGGCCCGGCGGUGACAGUCUUUAGAUUCAGUGACAUGUCUGAGUUCAGUUUGAACUUUAUCCCCUUCGUCUUCAAAAGCCGGGCGGUGACCAUCUUUAGAUUAAGAGACCUGCCUGAAUCUGUUUGAAAAUCAUCCCCUACGUUGGAUAAUAGCGGUGCUCUUCCGAAAACCCUUUGACCUCAAUAAGUAUGUCAUGAGCUAGCCAGUAGAAAUUCAGUGAAAACCCUUCGACCUCAAUAAGCAUGUCAUGAGCUAGCCAGUAGAAAUUCACUGAAAACCCUUCGACCUCAAUAAGUAUGUCAUGAGCUAGCCAGUAGAAAUUCACUGAAAACCCUUCCACCUCAAUAAGCAUGUCAUGAGCUAGCCAGUAGAAAUUCACUGAAAACCCUUUGACGCGGCUGGCCAAUAGGUGGGAUAAUAGCAGUUCUCGUCCGCAAACCCUUUGACCUCAUUAAGUAUGUCUUAUAAGAGCCAGUAGAAAUCCAGGUAAGUCGAGGUGUCGCCGAUAUCCCCCAUACCUUGCCUGUCCAAGUACACUUGCGUGACGGUGGGUCCAAGAGUAUGAGGGAGGCCACACUCAUCGUGUACCUGUAUCUCUCCCACCGCCGAGAUCUGAAGACCCUGGUGACGAGGACAACCUUCAUCUCAACUAAGCGAGACAGCCAGUCAGGCGCAAGAUCUUGGUGCAUGCUGUGUGUCCAGGGUUAGCUGGAACUCGGAAGGACUCCGACCAGCCUACACCAUUUUGAAUCCGGAUAACGUGGGCGAUCACGUCAUCCGUAAGUGUGAUGAAGAGUAUAAGAAACUUCUUCCAAGUUGGUGUUCUCGCCAUUGAUGUUGGGAACGAACGACACAACACGCGAGAAAUCGAGUGGUAUCAAGACCGUGUCGGGGUUUAUGACUGCCUUUUUUUGUGUGCGUGUGUGUGUGUAUGCAAGAUUUAUCCCCUAGUAUCAAAAGGGGAACGGGCCCUUGUCCGAAGACGGCCCGGGGAAACUAGCUCUGUACUUCUUCAAUGUGGGAUUUUCAGGCUUUUGGAGUUUCAACUUUGGCUGUUGUAAUUAUUUCAACUUGGGCUGUAGUAAUUAUUUUAACUUAGCCUGCAGUAUUAAAUUUUUAACUUCAGCUUUUGGAAUUAUUUAUAGUAGUACAUAAAUGCAAUCUAAAUACCGAAGUUAUUGUCCAUAAAUUAUCUAAAAAUGAUGCAAAAAAAAUACAUUCAACUAUU